GACGAACGCUGGCGGCGUGCUUAACACAUGCAAGUCGAACGGAAAGGCUCCUGCUUGCAGGGGUACUCGAGUGGCGAACGGGUGAGUAACACGUGGGUGAUCUGCCUUGUACUCUGGGAUAAGCUUGGGAAACUGGGUCUAAUACCGGAUAGUAGCUGCCUUUAGUGUGGUGGUUGGAAAGUUUUUUCGGUGCAAGAUGAGCUCGCGGCCUAUCAGCUUGUUGGUGGGGUAAUGGCCUACCAAGGCGUCGACGGGUAGCCGGCCUGAGAGGGUGUACGGCCACAUUGGGACUGAGAUACGGCCCAGACUCCUACGGGAGGCAGCAGUGGGGAAUAUUGCACAAUGGGCGGAAGCCUGAUGCAGCGACGCCGCGUGGGGGAUGACGGCCUUCGGGUUGUAAACUCCUUUCGACAGGGACGAAGCUUUUUGUGACGGUACCUGUAUAAGAAGCACCGGCUAACUACGUGCCAGCAGCCGCGGUAAUACGUAGGGUGCGAGCGUUGUCCGGAAUUACUGGGCGUAAAGAGCUCGUAGGUGGUUUGUCGCGUCGUCUGUGAAAUUCCGGGGCUUAACUCCGGGCGUGCAGGCGAUACGGGCAUAACUUGAGUGCUGUAGGGGAGACUGGAAUUCCUGGUGUAGCGGUGAAAUGCGCAGAUAUCAGGAGGAACACCGAUGGCGAAGGCAGGUCUCUGGGCAGUAACUGACGCUGAGGAGCGAAAGCAUGGGUAGCGAACAGGAUUAGAUACCCUGGUAGUCCAUGCCGUAAACGGUAGGCGCUAGGUGUAGGGGGCUUCCACGUCUUCUGUGCCGUAGCUAACGCAUUAAGCGCCCCGCCUGGGGAGUACGGCCGCAAGGCUAAAACUCAAAGGAAUUGACGGGGGCCCGCACAAGCGGCGGAGCAUGUGGAUUAAUUCGAUGCAACGCGAAGAACCUUACCUGGGCUUGACAUACACCAGAUCGCUGCAGAGAUGUAGUUUCCCUUGUGGUUGGUGUACAGGUGGUGCAUGGUUGUCGUCAGCUCGUGUCGUGAGAUGUUGGGUUAAGUCCCGCAACGAGCGCAACCCUUGUCUUAUGUUGCCAGCAUUUUAGUUGGGGACUCAUGAGAGACUGUCGGGGUUAACUCGGAGGAAGGUGGGGAUGACGUCAAAUCAUCAUGCCCCUUAUGUCCAGGGCUUCACACAUGCUACAAUGGUCGGUACAACGCGCAGCGACAUUGUGAGGUGGAGCGAAUCGCUGAAAGCCGGCCUUAGUUCGGAUUGGGGUCUGCAACUCGACCCCAUGAAGUCGGAGUCGCUAGUAAUCGCAGAUCAGCAAUGCUGCGGUGAAUACGUUCCCGGGCCU
rnacentral:rRNA from 1 species